GGCCCAGUGGUGUAGCUCGGCCAAUCAUCGUUUGUUUUUUGAUGAAUCAGACGUGUUGAAUUUUAGGCUUUCAUACCUUGAGGGUAUCACUCAAAGUGAAGUCCCUUAAAGACCCGGGUUCAAAUCCCGGCUGGGUCA
rnacentral:tRNA from 1 species